rnacentral:rRNA from 1 species
CCUACGGGGGGCUGCAGUGGGGAAUAUUGGGCAAUGGAGGCAACUCUUACCCAGCAAUGCCGCGUGAAUGAAGAAGGUCUUCGGAUUGUAAAGUUCUUUAAUUGGGGACGAAAAAAAUGACGGUACCCAAGGAAUAAGCCCCGGCGAACUACGUGCCAGCAGCCGCGGUAAUACGGAGGGGGCAAGCGGUGUUCGGAAUGACUGGGCGUAAAGGGUGUGUAGGCGGAUUUUUAAGUCAGCGGUCAAAUCGUGGGGCUCAACCCCAUCCAGCCGUUGAAACUGGGGAUCUAGAGUGUGCGAGAGGUAUGCGGAAUGCGUGGUGUAGCGGUGAAAUGCAUAGAUAUCACGCAGAACCCCGAUUGCGAAGGCAGCAUACCGGUGCACAACUGACGCUCAGGCACGAAAGCGUGGGUAUCGAACAGGAUUAGAUACCCUGGUAGUC